rnacentral:rRNA from 1 species
UACGUAGGGGGCGAGCGUUGUCCGGAUUUAUUGGGCGUAAAGAGCGUGUAGGCGGCCAGGUAGGUCUGCUGUGAAAACUCGAGGCUCAACCUCGAGACGUCGGCGGAAACCAUCUGGCUAGAGUCCGGAAGAGGAGAGUGGAAUUCCUGGUGUAGCGGUGAAAUGCGUAGAUAUCGGAAGGAACAUCAGUGGCGAAAGCGACUUCCUGGACCAAUACUGACGCUCAUGUGCGAAAGCGUGGGGAGCAAACAGG